rnacentral:rRNA from 1 species
UACAGAGGGUGCAAGCGUUAAUCGGAAUUACUGGGCGUAAAGGGCGCGUAGGUGGUUAUUUAAGUCAGAUGUGAAAUCCCUGGGCUUAACCUAGGAAUUGCAUUUGAAACUAGAUGGCUAGAGUAUGGUAGAGGGAAGUGGAAUUUCCGGUGUAGCGGUGAAAUGCGUUGAUAUCGGAAGGAACGCCGGUGGCGAAAGCGACGCACUGGACCUCUUCUGACGCUGAGGCGCGAAAGCCAGGGGAGCAAACGGG